UGAAUACGAGACGCUAAGGCGUCGAAGUAGGGUAUGUCAUACUUCCAAGAAAAGCUUGCACUGUCAUAGAUAAAAAACGCCUGUACCAUAACCGACACAGGUGGGUAGGUAGAGUAUACUAAGGGGCGCGAGAUAACUCUCUCUAAGGAACUCGGCAAAAUAACUCCGUAACUUCGGGAGAAGGAGUGCCUUAUUCGUAAGGUUGCAAUAACAAGAUCCAAGCAACUGUUUAUCAAAAACACAGGUCUCCGCUAAGUCGUAAGACGAUGUAUGGGGGCUGACGCCUGCCCAGUGCCAGAAGGUUAAAGAAGUUGGUUAGCAAUUGCGAAGCUGAUAACUGAAGCCCUGAUGAACGGCGGCCGUAACAAUAACGGUCCUAAGGUAGCGAAAUUCCUUGUCGGGUAAGUUCCGACCCGCACGAAAGGCGUAAUGAUUUGGAUACUGUCUCGGAGAGGGGCUCGGUGAAAUAGACUUGUCUGUGGAGAUGCGGACUACCUGCACCAGGACAGAGAGACCCUAUGAAGCUUUACUGUAACUUGAAAUUGAAAUUGGACUUUAUUCGCGCAGUAUAGGUGGGAGGCGUUGAUUAUAAUCUUGUGGGAUUAUUGGAGCCAUCAGUGAGAUACCACUCUUGUAAUGUUAGAUUUCUAACUUUGAAUCAUUAUCUGGUCAAAGAACAGUUUCAGGCGGGCAGUUUGACUGGGGCGGUCGCCUCCUAAACGGUAACGGAGGCGUACAAAGGUUUCCUCUGAACGGUUAGAAAUCGUAUCUAGAGUGUAAAGGCAUAAGGAAGCUUGACUGUGAGACCUACAAGUCGAGCAGGGACGAAAGUCGGUCUUAGUGAUCUGACGGUACUGAGUGGAAAGGCCGUCACUCAACGGAUAAAAGUUACUCUAAGGAUAACAGGCUGAUCUCCCCCAAGGGUUCACAUCGACGGGGAGGUUUGGCACCUCGAUGUCGGCUCAUCGCAUCCUGGGGCGGUAGUACGUCCCAAGGGUUGGGCUGUUCGCCCAUGAAAGCGGUACGCGAGCUGGGUUCAGAACGUCGUGAGACAGUUCGGUCCAUAUCCGGUGUAGGCGUUAGAAUAUUGAGAGGAGCCUUCUUUAGUACGAGAGGACCGAGAAGGACAUACCUCUGGUGUACCAGUUAUCGUGCCAACGGUAAACGCUGGGUAGCUGUGUAUGGAGUGAAUAACCGCUGAAAGCAUCUAAGUGGGAAGCCCACCUCAAGAUAAGUAUUCUCAU
rnacentral:rRNA from 1 species